AUGAGUAGGGCGGGACACGUGGUAUCCUGUCUGAAUAUGGGGGGACCAUCCUCCAAGGCUAAAUACUCCUGACUGACCGAUAGUGAACCAGUACCGUGAGGGAAAGGCGAAAAGAACCCCGGCGAGGGGAGUGAAAAAGAACCUGAAACCGUGUACGUACAAGCAGUGGGAGCCCCACCACCAAAGCAUUCUCUGGUGUUGAAGGCCCUGCAAAGCAGCAUCGCGGUGGCGGAGUGUCGUUUGCGACGCCCAACACACAAAACAAGCGGUGAGUGCUUUGGGGUGGGGUGACUGCGUACCUUUUGUAUAAUGGGUCAGCGACUUAUAUUCUGUAGCAAGGUUAACCGAAUAGGGGAGCCGGAGGGAAACCGAGUCUUAACCGGGCGUUAAGUUGCAGGGUAUAGACCCGAAACCCGGUGAUCUAGCCAUGGGCAGGUUGAAGGUUGGGUAACACUAACUGGAGGACCGAACCGACUAAUGUUGAAAAAUUAGCGGAUGACCUGUGGCUGGGGGUGAAAGGCCAAUCAAACCGGGAGAUAGCUGGUUCUCCCCGAAAGCUAUUUAGGUAGCGCCUCGUGAACUCAUCUCCGGGGGUAGAGCACUGUUUCGGCUAGGGGGCCAUCCCGGCUUACCAACCCGAUGCAAACUGCGAAUACCGGAGAAUGUUAUCACGGGAGACACACGGCGGGUGCUAACGUCCGUCGUGAAGAGGGAAACAACCCAGACCGCCAGCUAAGGUCCCAAAGUCAUGGUUAAGUGGGAAACGAUGUGGGAAGGCCCAGACAGCCAGGAUGUUGGCUUAGAAGCAGCCAUCAUUUAAAGAAAGCGUA
rnacentral:rRNA from 1 species